rnacentral:rRNA from 1 species
AACGAACGCUGGCGGCGUGCUUAACACAUGCAAGUCGAACGCGAAAGGGACUUCGGUCCUGAGUAAAGUGGCGCACGGGUGAGUAACGCGUAGAUAACCUGUCUUCAUGUCUGGAAUAAUACGCCGAAAGGGGUACUAAUACCGGAUAUUCUUGCUUUUCAUAAGUUAUGCAAGCAAAGGUGGCCUCUGCAUAUGCUACUGCAUGAAGAGGGGUCUGCGUACCAUUAGCUAGUAGGUGGGGUAAUGGCCUACCUAGGCGACGAUGGUUAGCGGGUCUGAGAGGAUGAUCCGCCACACUGGCACUGGAACACGGGCCAGACUCCUACGGGAGGCAGCAGUGAGGAGUAUUGCGCAAUGGGGGAAACCCUGACGCAGCGACGCCGCGUGAGUGAGGAAAGGCCUUCGGGUCGUAAAGCUCUGUCAAGAGGAAAGAAGUGUACAAUGGCUAAUACCUGUUGUAUUUGACGGUACCUCUAAAGGAAGCACCGGCUAACUCCGUGCCAGCAGCUGC